rnacentral:rRNA from 1 species
GCGAAGAACCUUACCUACUCUUGACAUCCAGAGAACUUAGCAGAGAUGCUUUGGUGCCUUCGGGAACUCUGAGACAGGUGCUGCAUGGCUGUCGUCAGCUCGUGUUGUGAAAUGUUGGGUUAAGUCCCGCAACGAGCGCAACCCUUAUCCUUGUUUGCCAGCGAGUAAUGUCGGGAACUCCAGGGAGACUGCCGGUGAUAAACCGGAGGAAGGUGGGGACGACGUCAAGUCAUCAUGGCCCUUACGAGUAGGGCUACACACGUGCUACAAUGGCGCAUACAGAGGGCGGCCAACUUGCGAAAGUGAGCGAAUCCCAAAAAGUKMGUCGUAGUCCGGAUUGGAGUCUGCAACUCGACUCCAUGAAGUCGGAAU